GAUGAACGCUGGCGGCGUGCUUAACACAUGCAAGUCGAACGGAAAGGCCUGUACUUGUACAGGUACUCGAGUGGCGAACGGGUGAGUAACACGUGGGUGAUCUGCCCUGCACUAUGGGAUAAGCGUGGGAAACUGGGUCUAAUACCAUAUAGGACCACUUCUUGGAUGUUGUGGUGGAAAGCUUUUGCGGUGUGGGAUGAGCCUGCGGCCUAUCAGCUUGUUGGUGGGGUAAUGGCCUACCAAGGCGGCGACGGGUAUCCGGCCUGAGAGGGUGUACGGACACAUUGGGACUGAGAUACGGCCCAGACUCCUACGGGAGGCAGCAGUGGGGAAUAUUGCACAAUGGGCGCAAGCCUGAUGCAGCGACGCCGCGUGGGGGAUGACGGCCUUCGGGUUGUAAACUCCUUUCGCUAUCGACGAAGCCACCUUUGGUGGUGACGGUAGGUAGAUAAGAAGCACCGGCUAACUACGUGCCAGCAGCCGCAGUAA
rnacentral:rRNA from 1 species